GUGCUACGAGACUCAAACUGUAACCUGAGUCUGGAGAAAGAACAUUCGCUCUGGAGGGCUGGUGUAAACUACAUUAGUGGAUGGUUACCUUGGUCUAAAGCUCAGGAGGAUCCUGAGAAAUCAACAGAAUAAGGAAAGUCACCGUCAGAUGAGGAAUCCUCAGAAGGUGAAACAGGAGGGAGAAGAGGCUCAUGAGCGCUCCAAUGAGGUGGAUUAGUAAGAAUACAAGUCUAUAGUAUAAGACCUUCAUAAUGAUGUCAAGAUUAAACUCGUUCAUAAUGAAGCAAUUAAAAUAUUGCU